rnacentral:tRNA from 1 species
GGGGCCUUAGCUCAGCUGGGAGAGCGCCUGCCUUGCACGCAGGAGGUCAUCGGUUCGAUCCCGAUAGGCUCCA